CUGUGUAACACUGAAAGUCUUCCCCGGAUAAACUGGAAACAGUAACACACAACAGGUGUUUCCGGUGAGCGGGUUCGUCAUGUCUGCCAGAAAGCCUCGCUCGGUGGCGAACCCUUUGGAGUCUGCCAUCACUUCACCGAGUGAGAGGAUACUAAAAGAAUGUCACAGUUUGUAUGUCGACAGCGAAAACGGCCUGGUAAAGAUUGCCAGCAGCCUAGGAGUACGCCUUCUUCCCCCCAGAAAGAAGAUUAUUGUGAUGAUCAUGGGAAACCAUUCUGCAGGAAAAAGCUCUUUCAUCAACUGGUAUGUUGAGGAGCAUAUCCAAAAAACUGGUGUUGCCAUUGAAACGCAGGGCUUCACAUUCAUCACAAGUGGGCGUAAAAGAGAAUCAUUGACGGGGAAUGCAACACUACAUCUCUACCCCCAUUUUCGACCACUCCUUGAGUUCAAAGGUGUUAUGGACUAUCUAUCUGCUGAGAUAUCCACCUCCAAGCAGAAGAAGUUCAGCCUUGUGACCUUCGUGGACACACCGGGCUUAGUGGAUGGGGACAUGAUCUACCCUUUUAAUGUUAACAGCGCCAUCACAUGGUUAGGAGAGCAGUCAGACCUGAUAUUUGUGUUCUUUGACCCAAUGGGUCAGGCGCUGUGCAAGCGCACGCUGAACAUUGUGGAAAAGCUGAGUGAGAAGUGUGGGGACAAGCUCUUGUUCUACCUCAGCAAAGCUGACGAUGCUGGAAAGGAAACCGAUCGACAAAGAGUGAUGAUGCAGAUUGUCCAGGAAUUGUGCCGCCGCCCAGGUCUCAACAAAUGUGGUUUUGAAAUGCCAACAAUAUAUAUCCCUAACCCGCAGAAGCCAAGCCGCUGUGUGAACCAAAUCGACGGAGUUUGUCAGACCAUCGAAAAGACCAUCAACCAGACUGUGCAGAGAACUUUGGACCAGUUAGAAAAAGACUGUGAUCUAAUUUGCUUUACCAUCAGCAGCAGACUACAACAGGACAGGACUGAUGCCUCAUACAACAAAAGCGUUCGACUGCACUCGUUCGUGUGUGGUGCUAUGGGAGUUGUCCUUCCUUUGCUCUUCGUUCUCAGUUUCAUUCUGAGCACCUUCCCGAAGGAGCAGCUGAGUGAUCUGAUGGGAGAGGGGUUGGCACACACCCUCUCUGUCUGUACAGGAAUUGUGAUGUACUUAUGGGAGUGGAUUCCGGAAGAUGGGCAAGUUGUCUUUGUGAUCCUUUUUGGAGCCUUUUGUUACCUCCUACUUUUCCUCUCUAAAUACUUCUCUGGUCAAGGAAACAAGACUCUAACAAAGAAGGAGAAGAGAGUGAUGACAGAGUACAGUGAUUAUAUCCAGGAUAUCGUCAAAGCCAAAAAGUCCACUUGCAUUGGAGCCAAAUGGUGCAGUACUUGGCCAGAUCCAGCAGAUAGAACUGCACCUGCAUUGGUGGAAUAUCCCGUUACAUUAUGUCACUUUUUUAACCAUCGAACAGAGCUUUUUUAAACGGGACUGUCUCGACCCCAAUGAUGGAGACGGAGUGGGCCUUGUCUGUCAGAGCUGCAGCCACCUCCAUACCUGCCAAUAGUCUCAAUCAACACUUAAAAUGUUCAGACUUUAGGCCUGUCAUAAGGAGGAUGUCUGUCCAUGGUGCACAUGACGAUGCGGUCUGUGAAGCCCUCUUGCCUCAGCGUCUCCGCACACACCAGACCUGCUGGACCUGCACACAUCAACCAUCACUCAGGACCUGUUUGUCUUGGGAGACCCUACCAGGGGGCAUGAAAGCCCCCGGACAACAUAGCUCCUAGGAUCAUUGGGACACGCAAACUCCUCUACCACGAUCUUUGACAUGGCAGACGGAGGCCUCCACGUAGUCCCGUGAUUUGUGGUACGCUUGGAGAGGGGUGGAGUCGUCGUCCGAGCUGUGCCCCAGGGCCCCGUUUGGCCUGCAGUCCGCAAAGGGACUCGCCUUGCCAUUAGGAACAGAUCUCAGCUAAAAGAGGCCACCCUAACUCAAAUUGAGGACAAAUCAAGUGUGACAACUCCACAAGUGGAACAAAUGAAAGAAGGGAGAAGGUGUCUGGACUAAUUUAAAGGGCAAACCUGCCUUCUUUCUUGUCUUUUUUUUCUUUUUGUUGGCUAUCAUCAUGAAUUCAUUCAUGCUCAGUCUUAAAGCUCAUAAACUGUCUUCUAAGCAGCAAAACAUUUAACAUGGGAAUAUUUUAGUGCUGUCAAACAAUUUCUUUGUAAUCAGAUUAAUUACAAUGAAUCACAAUUAGACAAAUCAUUAAUUUUCAUAUAUAUUAAUGGUGAUUUUGCAUGCGCAAGGAGACUCAAGAAAGAGUGUAAAAUACAGUGGAACGAUUUACAAACUUAAUUGGUUCUUGAACAGGGUUCGUAAAUUGAAAAGUUCAACAACAAUGCUCCAUAAGAAACAAUGCAAAUAUGAAUAAUGGGUUCCAGCCUCAACAGAAGUCCAUAUUUAAGUGGUUUGUACACUUUGAACACAUAAAGUGCUAUACAGGACUGUAUAUCAAAGAAACAUAACAAGGGGGUGAUGGAUCAACUUUCGAUUUAGUAACAGGCCAAAACGACAACAAUGACAAGCUACUGUAUUUUGUAUGCGCUGCACUGCCAACACGCGCACACACACAGGGUGCUCUCACAAACAAUCAGAAAUCACAAAAAUACUUAACUUCAACAACCAUAUAGCUACAAUAAUGAACAUUUACAAAACUAAAAUCCACUUACAUUAACGUUGGCAAAGGAGAAGCUGAAGAGAAAAGAGCAGACAGAGGGGGAGGACGGAGG